ensembl:lncRNA
AAAAAAAAAAAAAAUAAAACUGGGAAACAGCCAUAUUUACGAAAAGGUGCUUAACCUAUAGAAAAAUAAAACUAUGAAUUAAAUUAGUGUUUAAUUUUUAGUAAUGACCAUUUUUGUUGUCAUAAAAACCUUCUUCUUUACAAUACAGAAUAACGAUUGUCAAUAGUAAAUAUUAUGAAAACAAUAACUGUUGUAUUUUUCAUCAUUAUAUAGUUUAUGUAUUAUAAUUGUAAAAACAAAACAAAUUUAGCAACUCACAUAGUAAUCAUUCAACACUGCUUAAAAAUGUAAGUUGAAAAUUAAACUCAUGAUUAAGCAUGAAAUAAGAUACAGAAUCAGUAAAUUCGAUUUUAAUGUGGGUAUAUUAUCAGUAAACUAAUCAUUAAAUAUUUAUAAUCAAUCAAAAAAUAUUGCCCCCUUUCAUAAUGUUGUUCAAAAAUGAAGGGCACAAUGUUAAUGUUGUCCACUCGAUGGCGCCACAGGACAGCAAAUACUUCAAGAUCUGUUCAAAGACUUGAAAAUGUUUCAUUUAUGUAAAUAAAUCAAAAAUGCAUAUACAUUCAUUCUUUUUUCAUAAACUUUAAUAAAGCCCAAUAUAGUAAUUAUGCAAAAACUAUCAUCUCCAAAAUACCAUUACGUUUUUAUCUUAUUUUAAUAGUAUUGACAACAUAUUUCUCAAGUUAUCACGCAUUACUGAAAAAGUGAAGAAGGGACACUAUAUUUGUUAUCUAUUUUCAUGUUGUGCGUAUAAUAAUUUACUUGAAAAGAGACACGUCCAUUGUUUAACUGCAUCAUCUACACAAACCAUUGUGCUUGGACCCCUUAUGAUCACCUGGACUUAAACCACAUUGUUUCAGUUACCUUCUGUGUCUUUGGCCACAACGCUUCAGUGACAGGAAUGUGAAAUAGCAAACAGGGGAACAAAUAAAAGGCAUGACUUUAUUUGCAUCCAGCUAGCCAACUCUAUUACAGGUGUUCCACAGCCAAGACUCUUAUUAGAAUAGAAAAUAGCAAGGGUUCGAAUAAAUAGAUUAUUUUUUAUUAGGGCUCAAGCCUGGAGGG